UACGUAGGGGCCUAGCGUUGUCCGGAAUUAUUGGGCGUAAAGAGCUCGUAGGCGGUUCGGCAAGUCGGAUGUGAAAUCUCCACGCUUAACGUGGAGGGGCCAUUCGAAACUGCUGUGACUCGAGUCCGGUAGGGGAGUGUGGAAUUCCCGGUGUAGCGGUGAAAUGCGCAGAUAUCGGGAGGAACACCAGUAGCGAAGGCGGCACUCUGGGCCGGUGCUGACGCUGAGGAGCGAAAGCGUGGGGAGCGAACAGG
rnacentral:rRNA from 1 species